GGUCGCCUAUGUCAAUUGGUUAGAGCGUUGGUCUUAUGCGCCAAAGGACGCAGGUUCGAGCCCCGCCGGGACCA
rnacentral:tRNA from 1 species